UCGCCCGGCCCGCAUGGCACUAUGGGAAAGGUAGUUCGGCGCAACCCAGCGGUUGGACUACAACUCCCAGGAUGCCCCUGAAGGAGCGAGCGAGGUGGCUGCGGUGGCCUCAUCGGCCUCGAAGAUUUCCUCCUUGAUGCUUAUUUUACCCUGAUAUCGCCUGAGUGCCAAAGUCCAUUGGGUGGACAACGUGAUUUUCAUCUGCCAAAUGCAGAAGAUUUGGAAGGCCGGGCAAGGACAUUUCUUCUCCACAUGGAAUGAGUACAGUGAAGAGGAAUAGAAAAAUGGAAUGAACCUUGGUAAGGGAAGAUGAAAGCCCAAGAUGGAGUAAUAGAAUGUGGAAGCCCAGAGCUGCUCUAACAGGUCACUCAGGAGAUGAAUCUGAGAGAACACAACAGGAGGCAGUUUCAACAGGAUGCUGCUGCAGGAAUCCAGGAUGUUUUAGUAGACUCAUCUAGGAAGAAAGCUGGAAUUAAAAGGAGCUGUUUUAAUGGUGGAAAAUCUGGCUGGGGGUAAGCUCUCAUGGGAACCACAGGGCUGUGUCUCUAGCUGGCUACGUCAGUCAUAGCUCAGCAGGUUCUGCAUUUCACUGCAGAUGUUUGGUUUGGAAAGUCCCUUGGUUAUUUGGCUUCUGAAGUCCUUUCUCACCAUGGGGCUCCUCUGUGGGAGGACAGAGCUCAUCAAUCACAUUCUCCAAAUGUCAGGCUUCUGCUGUGUGACCCCAGAAGAACUUGCUUCCCAUCUACGUAACAGAAGCAAGGACUCUACAUUUGCUGGAAUCAAGUGUGAACUGUGGGGCAAAGGUCCUCCCUGAUGGUUAAGAGUUCCCAAGAGACGUGACUGUUGGGACAUAAAUCGGAAUAUAAAUGUCACCCCAAUCCUCUGACUGUUACCAUUUCACCCUUCCUUCUUCUCUUUCCUACAGUCUCUUAAGAGACUCUUGGGGGAUGUAAUUCACCAACCAGAAACUAAAUUAUAUUUAACUUUCUCAAUUAGAUGCUAUUUCAGCUAUGUUAAACCCAUACUUGAGAUGCUAAGCCAGAACAUGAGAGCCCUGGAAAGGGGUCCUGGAAUCAUUCAGGUUCAGACUUGUAGAAUUAUUACUUUCACUUUCUAGAACCCGCUACACCUUCUUUUAACUAUAAAGCUUUAGAUCUGCUACCCUCUUUGCCUGAAAUUCCCUCUUUUUCGCCAGGCCUAUCCAACACACACACACACAGAGAAAGAGAGCAAGAGAGCAAGAGCAUUGAGUGGCUUCUGCUUGUCCCUCAGGACUCAAAUCAGGCAUUAUCUCUUUAGGAAAGUUUUCUGAUAUCCCACCCCUGUACACAGUUUUCAAUCACUGAUGGAUUUUCCAGUCUUAACCAAUUGGCAAUAAAUGACCAAUAAAUAUUAGUGUCAUUGAAUGAAUAAAUGGAUUGUUAUGGCUAGUGUUGUACUCGGACUCUCAUUCUGGUUGAGAAUGAGCCUCCUCACUACUGGGUAUUUACCCCAAAGAUACAAAUGUAGGGAUCCGAAGGGGUACGUGCACCCCGAUGUUUAUAGCAGCAAUGUCCACAAUAGCCAAACUGUGGAAAGAGCCAAGAUGUCCAUCAACAGAUGAAUGGAUAAAGAAGAUGUGGUAUAUAUAUACAAUGGAACAUUAUGCACCCAUCAAAAGGAAUGAGAUCUUGCCAUUUGCAACGACGUGGAUGGAACUGGAGGGUGUUAUGCUGAGCGAAAUAUGUCAAUCAGAGAAAGACAUGUAUCAUAUGACCUCACUGAUAUGGGGAAUUCUUAAUGUCAGGAAACAAACUGAGGGUU